rnacentral:rRNA from 1 species
GACGAACCGAGCGAACGUUGUUCGGAAUCACUGGGCUUAAAGGGCGCGUAGGCGGGCUGUCAAGUCUGGGGUGAAAUCCCGCGGCUCAACCGUGGAACUGCCUUAGAUACUGACGGCCUCGAGGGAGGUAGGGGCAUGCGGAACUGAUGGUGGAGCGGUGAAAUGCGUUGAUAUCAUCAGGAACUCCGGUGGCGAAGGCGGCGUGCUGGACCUCUUCUGACGCUGAGGCGCGAAAGCUAGGGGAGCAAACAGG